AAUGGAUUAAAAAUGAUGCAUUUUGAUACUAGUGAUAAAAUAAUUUACAUGAAAUUAAAUUUUACUGCAGUUUUAGUGACGACUCAGACGACAGAAUACAUUUGGAUCUGACUGGAAGAAAGACUCCAAUGGCCUGUGAAAGCCACUGGUGGUCUUAACUCCUCUGCUAUUACGAUCAUCUGACCCCUGUCCAGUCUUUCCAAUGGUACCCAGCUCUUCUACAAGACAUUUCCCACCCUCAGUUACCCGCUUCUGAGACCGAUGAUCCUGGAUAUGGCUACACCCUCUUCCCACAGAGGCCAUCCAAAAUAAUGUGGAUUUCACUGCCCAGAUCUCACUGUCCCGGUUCUGGUCCCACAAACUACCCAGGAUACAGGGUUGAUCUGGAACGAAUCAUCAGCCAACAACUCCAGCCUUGUGUAGGUCUUCAACUGAGCAUAAAUCACCAUCACCGAUGCAGCAUCGGCAUAAAAAAAAAACCAAGUAAUAAGCAGCCGAGGUGAUGAACUGUGUGUGGAGAGAAGCAAGUUGUUACUGAGGAUGAAGUUGUCUCAGUGGUACCAGAAGAUGUCCAGCCCCAAUAAAAUAGCAUCCAGGGACUAGAAGUGGAAACCACCCCCUGCAGUAGACAAAGUGGAACAACCUGCUGUUGAAAAUGAGGAGAUAUAUGGAGCCUCUUUGAAAGUUUUAACCCGUCUUUGUCAUUAUUAUGAAAAAUUGAAAAAUGGUUAAAUAUAUUCAAAAGAAUCUUGGUAUGGUGAAAUGGAAUGGAUCUCAUGUACGGGAUAAUAACACUGUUUAAAGCCCAGCCCUCAAUGGAUCCAGUUCAUUGUACUUUUGUUGAGAGUUGAGAAGGCACACGGAUGUAUAUACCUGUAGAAAUCAUUCAACCCUGACCUCAGAAAGGUCAUGGCCAAUAUACACCCUCUGGCAAUGAAGUGCUAUUCAGGCGGAACGCUGCACUGGCCAAGAGCAUGGUGUGUCUCAAGGAUGGAUACAUGAGGAAGGACAUUAGUGUGGAUGAAUGGCAACUAGAUCGGAUACAUGAGGAAGGACAGUAGUGUAGAUGAAUUGCAACUAGAUUGGAUACAGGAGGAUGGACAGUAGUGUGAAUGAAUGGCAACUAGAUUGGAUACAUGAGGAAGGACAGUAGUGUGGAUGAAUGGCAACUAGAUUGGAUACAUGAGGAAGGACAGUAGUGUGAAUGAAUGCAACUAGAUUGGAUACAUGAGGAAGGACAGUAGUGUGGAUGAAUGGCAACUAGAUUGGAUACAGGAGGAAGGACAGUAGUGUGGAUGAAUGGCAACUAGAUUGGAUACAUGAGGAAGGACAGUAGUGUGGAUGAAUGGCAACUAGAUUGGAUACAGGAGGAAGGACAGUAGUGUGGAUGAAUGGCAACUAGAUUGGAUACAUGAGGAAGGACAGUAGUUUGGAUGAAUGGCAACUAGAUUGGAUACAUGAGGAAGGACAGUAGUGUGGAUGAAUGCAACUAGAUUGGAUACAGGAGGAACGACAGUAGUGUGGAUGAAUGGCAACUAGAUUGGAUACAGGAGGAUGGACAGUAGUGUGGAUGAAUGGCAACUAUAUUGGAUACAGGAGGAAGGACAGUAGUGUGGAUGAAUGGCAACUAGAUUGGAUACAGGAGGAAGGACAGUAGUGUGGAUGAAUGGCAACUAGAUUGGAUACAGGAGGAAGGACAGUAGUGUGGAUGAAUGGCAACUAGAUUUGAUACAGGAGGAUGGACAGUAGUGUGGAUGAAUGGCAACUAGAUCGGAUACAUGAGGAAGGACAGUAGUGUGGAUGAAUGGCAACUAGAUUGGAUACAUGAGGAAGGACAGUAGUGUGGAUGAAUGGCAGCAAGGUGGGAACAGUAUUCUGUAUCAGGGAGAAGACAGACAUUGACUACACUGUCAGUCAGCAUCAGCUGAGGUUGAUUUGUUUGUAGACAUUUUCAACACACAGGCACCACCUUAUGAGACAUUAGUUGUUAACUGAAUUGUACAUUUGUGCACUCGUCCAUUCAUUUGUUUCACCAUUCAUUAGUUUAAGUGAUAGUGAAUCACCAAUUCAUUUCAUUUCUUCUCUCAUUAACUCAUUUAAUCUUACUUUCCUUAAUUAGCCAGUCAACAUUUCAUUCAUUGAGGACCUGAACACUAUGUAUCUAUGUAUUAGCCUGAGUUUCAUAAUAGUGAAAAAUAAAACUUUAAGAAGAUUAUAUUUUUAUUACAUGUAUAAAACAAGAGGUGUCACAGAGACAGUCCGCUUGACCAUUCCACCGCUUUUCAGUGUAAGGAUUGAACAUGUUUAGCAAGACAGGGAUCACUGUAAAGUUAUAUUAGAUUUCAAUGCAAAACAUGAUGUACAUGAGAUAUUAACAUAAAUGUGGUUACAUGCAAAUUUUUAACCAGAAUUUCUAAGUCCAAUUAUAAAGGUCCAUUAUUUGCAUUAAAUUAAAACUAGAGUUAUCUAACUUAGUCAAUUAGGUAGGUUGGACGGUUGAGUACUAUUGUAUAAAAUCUUAAUGCAAUACAUCAAGUUGUUACUGAGAUAUUAACCUAUGUGCAAAACCUUAACCAGAAUUUCUUAGUCAAAUAAUAAAGGCCCAUUACAUUAUAUUUAAAAAAUUGUUAUCUAACUUCAUGAAUAUAGAAGGUUAGAUACAUGUAAUAUUUUAGUUUAAUUGUUUUCUAGAAAUGCCUUUUAAUAUAUAUUUUUAUUGUACAAUUUUUGAUGUAAACUAUAUAUUAUUUAAAUCUUAUAGUUUUAUAUGUCA